ACAGGAAGUAGUGGCUCCUGAAGACUCUCCUCUGCAGCAGCAGGAAGCAGAAACAAACGCCGUCCCAGAUGAUCCCAGCCUCAUCGCUCGGCAGCUCGCACUGUUUGCUGCUCUGCUGCUCCGCUGCAAACAGCACACAGGACAUUCUUCAUGGUGAUGACGAACACGUUGUAUCCAAUCAGACAGUCCCAGUAGAGCAGGAUGGAGUGCAGCGGUUUGAGCAGCAGGUCUCCGCCCACCAGCAGGAAGUAGAAGCAGGCCACCAGGUAGCCCAUACAGAAGAUGCUGAUCCUGGACACAGUGGUCUGUUAGCUCCACCCACACCCACCCACCUGCUGUCUGCUAGCUCAGCCCACAUCCACCCACCUGCUGCCUGUUAGCUCUGCCCACAGCCAUUCAGAGGGUUAAACAACAUUUUCUUCUGCUCACAAAAUGACUCAGGUGUCUGUGGCCACGCCCCUUACCUGGUUGUCCCGGUGAUGAAGAUGAUGGUGAGGACGAACCAGAACAUGUAGCUGAAGAUGAUCACCUUCAUCAUGUCCAGAUAAGACCUGAGGACACAGAGAGGUGAGAGACCCACAGGCGGCAGGUGUCCAAGUGUGCAGGUGGGCGGGGCUUACCUGCACAACAUGAAGUCAGGCACCGUGCUGAGACGGAGCCGUCUGAUUGGAUCAUAGAUCUGUGCGUCGUCUCCGUCCAGCUCGCUGUUGUCUCCUGCCAGCACCUGGACCGCCGGCUGAAGCUCCUCCUCAAACACCUGCAGCUGCAACGACGCCCCGAGGAGCAGCAGGAAGUCAUCUGCAGCAACACACAGGUGUUCUCAGGUAAACGCCCACCUUAACCCAGACAUAAGACAACCAGACUGAUGACGAUCAGGUCUUACAGAGCAGGAAGAGCGGGUUUGGUGGCGUCAAGUGGUCGGGUAAGAAGAGCCACUUCACCACGUUGGAGUCGACGGUCGAAGACAAACGUCUCCACGGAUAAUCUGGAGACAGACACAACAAACCUGCUAGCUUAGCUUAGCACAAAGACUGCAAGUAGAGGGGACCUAUUAGCUUAAUUUAGCACAAAGACUGGAAGUACAGGGAAACUAUUAGCUUAGCACAAAGACUGGAAGAAGAGGAGACCUAUUAUCUUAGCACAAACACUGGAAGUAGAGGGAAACUAUUAGCUUAGCUUAGCACAAAGACUGGAAGAAGAGGGGACCUAUUAGCUUAACUUAGCCAAAGACUGAAAGUAAAGGGAAAAUAUUAGCUUAACUUAGCACAAAGACUGGAAGUAGAGGGAAACUGUUAGCUUAGCUUAGCACAGUGACUGGAAGUAAAGGGAAACUAUUAGCUUAGCUUAGCAUAAAGGCUGGAAGUAGAGGGGACCUAUUAGCUUAGCUUAGCACAAAGUCUAAAAAUAAAGGGAAACUAUUAGCUUAACUUAGCACAAAGACUGGAAGUAGAGGGAAACUAUUAGUGUAGCUUAGCACUAAGACUGGAAGUAGAGGGGACCUAUUCGCUUAACUUAGCAAGGCGACUGGAAGUAAAGGGAAACUAUUAGCUUAGCUUAGCAUAAAGACUGGAAGUAGAGGGGACCUAUUAGCUUUGCUUAGCACAAAGACUGAACAUAAAGGGAAACUAUUAGCUUAGCUUAACACAAAGACUGGAAGAGGAGCAGACCUUUUAGCUUAGCUUAGCAUAAAGACUGGAAGUAGAGAGAAAUUAUUAACUUAGCUCAGCACAAAGACUAGAAAUAGAGAGAACUGUUAGCUUAGCUUAGCAUAAAGACUGAAAGUAAAGGGAAACUAUUAGCGUAGCUUAGCAUAAAGACUGGAAGCAGAGGGGACCUAUUAGCUUAACUUAGCACAAAAACUGGAAGAAGAGGGAAACUGUUAGCUUAGCUUAGCGCAGUGACUGGAAGUAGAGGGAAACUAUUAGCAUAGCUUAGCACAAAGACUAGAAGUAAAGGGGACCUAUUAGCUUAGCUUAGCACAAAGACUGAAACUAAAGGGAAACUAUUAGCUCAACUUAGCACAAAGACUGGAAGUAGAGGGAAACCGUUAGCUUUGCACAGUGAAUGGAAGUAGAGGGAAACUAUUAGCUUAACUUAGUACAAAGACUGGAAGCAGGAAGAAACUGUUACCUCAGCUUCACACAAAGACUCUAAGUAGAGGGAAACUAUUAGCUUAGCUUAGCACAAAGACUGGAAGUAGAGGGAAACCAUUAGCUAAGCUUAGCGCAAAGACUGGAAGCAGUAGGAAACCAUUACGUUAGCUCCUCUAAAGAAAAAAAGAAUGAAAAUGUUGAUGACAUUGGUGCCUGUGGAGUAACAAUCCCAGCAUGCCACCUGUAGGUGUGUCUGUACCUACAGGUGAGUCUGUACCUUCAGGAGUGUCUGUACCUACAGGUGAGUCUGUACCUGCAGGUGAGUCUGUACUACAGGAGUGUCUGUACUUACAGGUGUGUCGGUACCUGCAGGUGUGUCUGUACCUGCACAGGUAGCAGGAGGGAAGCCGAUGCACAGCAGGUACUGGAAGCACAGCACACCCGACAGGAAGUAGCAGUACCGCGGCCACACUGAUGCGAUGCGCUUCCUGCUGCGAUGUGAUAGGACGGUAAUGAGGCCAAAGGCGUGCCCGACAGCAAACAGGUCCAUCCGCUGACCAAUCACAUUCACAGCCAGCAGGAAACAGGUCUGCAGAGGACAGGUGGGGACAUUUUUCAACAAGGAUGGGUUAGCGUGUUGCUAUGCUUAAGUGUGUGCAUCCCACCUCCAGGCCAAACAUGUAGAAGUAGUAGUUGAGGAAGUAUUUAACGCAGUCAAUCACACCGUCAUCCAGGUGGCGUCUGGUGAUGUCAUGGAAGAGCGUCCUGGUAGGGGGCGGGACUUUGUUACGGCGGAGACGGUAGAGCUCCUGGCGUCGGUAAACAGUCACCUCAAAGGCUAACAGCGCUAACAUCACCAGGUUGUACUGUGGACACAGGUUAGCAUCAUGCUAAGUCUUCAUAGCUAACACCGCUAACAUCAUCAGGUUGUACUGUGGAGACAGGUUAGCAUCAUGCUAAGUCUUCAUAGCUAACACCGCUAACAUCAUGAGGUUGCACUGUGGAGACAGGUUAGCACCAUGCUAAGUCUUCAUAGCUAACAGCGCUACCAUCAUCAGGUUGGACUGUGGAGACAGGUUAGCACCAUGCUAAGUCUUCAUAGCUAACACCGCUAACAUCAUCAGGUUGUACUGUGGACACAGGUUAGCACCAUGCUAAGUCUUCAUAGCUAACACCGCUAAUGUCAUCAGGUUGUACUGUGGACACAGGUUAGCACCAUGCUAAGUCUUCAUAGCUAACACUGCUAACAUCAUCAGGUUGUACUGUGGAGACAGGUUAGCAUCAUGCUAAGUCUUCAUAGCUAACACCGCUAACAUCAUGAGGUUGCACUGUGGAGACAGGUUAGCACCAUGCUAAGUCUUCAUAGCUAACAGCGCUACCAUCAUCAGGUUGGACUGUGGAGACAGGUUAGCACCAUGCUAAGUCUUCAUAGCUAACACCGCUAACAUCAUGAGGUUGUACUGUGGAGACAGGUUAGCACCAUGCUAAGUCUUCAGAAGGACCUGAUCCAUCAUCUGCAGGUGAAACCAGAGAAUCAUGACUAAAGUGCAGAUAUCUGUACAUGUGGGUGUUAAAUGAUAUUAUUAUUACUGUUGUGAUGUCACUCCUCACCCUCAGGUAGUCCAGCAGUUUUCCAUCUGUCUUUCGAAGCCCCACCCACUGGGCGGGAUCAACAGGACCAGAGUACAAAACUGAUUGAGACAGGUCGAUGGAGGAGUUACUGGGCUACAGAGAGACAGACGGGUUAGACAGACAGGCAGGCAGACAGGUCAGACAGAUAGACAGGCCAGUGGUUGCCAAGGUUACCAUGGUGCAGUUGACGGAGUAUCUGAUUGGCUGGACGACGUUCAGUUGGUACAACAUCUUGCAGACGGUAACUACACAGGUCCAGACGGUACAGACUCCUGACAGCAGGGGGCGCCACGCCCUGCAGGGCAGAGCCCCGCCCACACAGAGCACGAAGAGCAGGUUAAACACACACACCUGAGGAGAGACAGACAGGUAAAACACACACACCUGUGGAGAGACAGACAGGUUAAACAUACACACCUGAGAAGAGACAGACAGGCAGGCAGGCAGACAGACAGACAGACAGACAGACAGACUGACAGGCAGACAGGCUCUGACCUCCUUCACACAGACCCAGAUGAUGUAGGAGGACACGAUCUUGUUGAUGUGCAGUUCCAGCAGCCACCACAGGAGGCGCUGCAUGCGCUGCAGGGACAGCAGGAGGCGCAGGAACAGCACGGAGAGACGGUCCACCACCAACCUCCAGGACAGCAGCACUGAGGAGACACACAGCAUCUCACACCUGUCCACGCCCCCUCAGGUCCUCCUCCCUUCUCCUCCUCCAGGUGGACCUGAGGAGCUCCGCCCACCGACAGGUCCAUCAGGCUGCCUUCAGAGUGAACCAACCUGCAGACGCACAGACAGGUGAGAGAGAGACAGGUGAGGUGAAGACUAGUUCACAGGUCAGAAGACCACUGUAAGACUUCUGGAGACAGACAGAACCAGGUGAGCUCUGAUUGGACAGGUGAGGUGAGCUCUGAUUGGACAGGUGAGGUAAGCUGUGAUUGGACAGGUGGCUGUUACCUGGUGAUGGUGCUGUUGUGUGUGUCCACCACAGUCUUCAGGUCAGUGAGCUGCAGAAAUGGCUCAUGGAAGUAAUGCAGGUGAACGAUGCACACCUGCAGGACAAACAGUGUUCUGUGUUACCGUGGCAACAGAAGGAGAACACCUGCAUCAGGUGGACUGUACCAUACCAGCAGGAACGCUGCAGGGAUGAAGAUCUUGGUGAAGAGGACCGGAACCGAGAACUUCUCCAGACCGACGUCCUCCAACCUGGAACCACAGGGAGAUGUCAGAGACAGUAGAGACAUGGCAGACAGGUGCAACAGGUGCAACACACCUGUGUGUGCUGAGUCCAGUGUAGUAGCUCCAGGUGGAAGGGGACGAGGGGAACUGGAACGUGUAAACCAGGAUCAGAACCAGCAUGGAGUAGACCACCACCGCUACCCAGAACCCCCUGAGCAAGGCACGCCAACGCUCGUAGUUCAGCUGAGAGACAGACAGGUGGAGAGACAGACAGGUAGACGUUAAACUGAUGAGUCAGUGUGAACCAGAUGUGAAUCAGGUGUGAACCAGGUGAACUAGGUGUGAACCAGGUGAACUAGGUGUGAUCCAGGUGUGAACCAGGUAAACUAGAUGUGAACCAGGUAUAAACCAGGUGAACUAGAUGUGAACAGUGUGAACCAGGUGAACUAGGUGUGAACCAGGUGUGGACCAGGUAAACUAGAUGUGAACCAGGUAUAAACCAGGUGAACUAGAUGUGAACAGUGUGAACCAGGUGUGGACCAGGUGUGAACCAGGUAUCAGGUGUGAACCAGGUGAACUAGGUGUGAACCAGGUGUGAAUCAGGUGUGAACUAGGUGUGAACCAGGUGAGAAUCAGGUGAACCAGGUGUGAACCAGGUGAACUAGAUGUGAACCAGGUGUGAACCAGGUGUUAACUAGAUGUGAACUAGGUGUGAACCAGGUGAUCCAGGUGUGAACCAGGUGAACUAGAUGUAAACCAGGUGUGAACCAGGUGCGAACUAGAUGUGAACUAGGUGUAAACCAGGUGAUCCAGGUGUGAACCAGGUGAACUAGAUGUGAACCAGGUGAACCAGGUGUGAACCAGGUGUGAACCAGGUGUGAACCAGGUGUGAACCAGGUGAACUAGGUGUGAACCAGGUGAUCCAGGUGUGAACCAGGUGAACUAGAUGUGAACCAGGUGUCAACCAGGUGUCAACCAGGUGUGAACCAGGUGUGAACUAGAUGUGAACUAGGUGUGAACCAGGUGUGAAUCAGGUGAACUAGGUGUGAACCAGGUGUAAACGAGGUGUGAACCAGGUGAACCAGGUGAGCGUACCUGGUACAGGGCCACGCAGCACAGGAACAUGACCAUGUAGAUGACCUUGUAGAGGACGAUUUUCCCCUCGAAGCUGACAAAGAAGAACAUCGUCCCGCAGACGUAGAUCCAGUAUUUGAUAAACAUCCUGGUAACCACGGCAACCAGAGCCUCCAUCUGGACUCCUCCUCCUCCCAGCAGCACCUCCUCAUACAGAACCUCCUCCUUCUGCUGGUCCUCUGGAGGACAGGAAUCAGACAGGCAGACAGGUGAUCAAUCAGACAGACAGGUGAUCAGACAGACAGGUAAUCAGACAGGUGAUCAGACAGACAGGGGAUCAGACAGGUGAUCAGUCAGACAGACAGGUGAUCAGACAGACAGGUGUCUUACCCUCCAGGUGGACAGUGAUAUGAGACAGCUGGUUGUCUGUCUGUCUGUCUUUCUUCUCAGUCAGUGACUGACGCAGCAGCAACCAGAAGGUCAACAGACACAACAACUGCAACACCAAUCAAUCAAUCAAUCAAUCAAUAAUCAAUCAGUUAAUAACCAAUCAGUAGUACUAGCAGAACAAGUAUCUGUAGGAGCAGUACAGUCAUAGUAUGAUCAGUACUGUCAGUACCAUUAAUGAUAGAAUACAAAUACACCAUAAAUAUCAAUAUUAGCAGUAAUAUAAUAUUAACAGUAGUAACAGCAAUAGUAGUAGUAGUACUAUCAGUAGUAGUACUAUCAGUAGUACUAUCAGUAGUAGUACCUUGGAGGCCAGCUCCCUGCAGGGGUCGUCCUUCCUGGGGAACAGUCCGGGUACUUCCUGGACGGAGGGGAAGCUGUAGACGUACUGCAGGACGACCAGCAGGUUGCCGUAGGCGACCAGCCACGGCGAUGACAUCAGCGUGUAGCGGCGGCGCUCUCGCAUCAUCCAGAGGACGCAGGACCAGAGCAGCAGCACACAGGUGAGCCAGGACACGUAUGUGAUGGACCACGCCAUCAUGGAGGUCAGAGCGCAGAUGUAGCUCUGCCUCAGGACAAACCUGAACGCCACUGAGGCUCCGCCCACAGCCUCCUCACCUGUCCUCUCCUCGACGUCCUCUUCCUCCUCCUCCCAGCCGUCCGCCUCGAACACACAUGUCUCCAGAGUGUCUGCAGACAACAACAUCUGAUCACUUCCUUAGAGAGCUGAUCAAUUACUGAUUGAUCCUUUAACCCUCUGAGUCCCAUUUUAACUCACUGUAGAUAAAUUUUAACUCACUGUACAUUAAUUUUAACUCACCAUAGGUUCAUUGUAACUCAAUUUAGGCUCGUUUUAACUCACUUUAUCUUCAUUUUAACUCACCGUAGAUUAUAUUUAACUCACAGUAGGCUCAUUUUAAGUCACCGUAGGUUUGUUUUAACUCACUGUAGAUUAAUUUUAACUCACUGUACAUUAAUUUUAACUCACUGUGGGUUAACUCUUCAGUCGGUCUCACCUGAUUGGCUCAGAGAGUAGUGAGGUGUUGAGGAAGCAUCCAAUCCCAAGGCAGUGCUCUGGGUGGGUGGGGCAAAGGAGUGAGAAGGGAUGUCCUUGGACGAAGACACCGGCAUCUGACAGAGAGAGAGGAGGGUUUACUGAACACAAAAAAACAAAAAAAUGAAAACUGUAAAAAUUAAUAUAUUGACAUGAAUGAAUAUUACUAAAGCCCACAAAAUACAAAUGAAUAAAUGAACAAUAUUAAUAAUGUACAGAAAAUAGUGUGAUCAUUUAUUAAUGUGAAUAUAUCUAAACGUGUCAGUGAAAAUGAAUGAACAAAUCAUAUUAAUCACCUAAAAUAAUUAUGAUAAUAAUAAUAAUAAUAAUAAUAAUAAUAAUAAUAAUAAAUAUAAAUCAGUGAAUUUUGAUUAAAAUUUAAAUAAAUACAUGGAAUUUAAAAUCAAUGCAUAGAUAACAUUAUUCCUGCAUAUAAUAAUAAUGAUGUGGUAAUAUUAAUGAUUAAUAAAAUCUAGAUAAAUAUGUGUGAAUGUAAAUAUCGAAAUGAAUUAAAUACUGCAUUUAACAAUAUCUAAUUCAGCUAAUCAGUUAAAAUUAACAGUAAAUAUGUUAAUAUUAAAACUAAAUAAAAUAAUGUCAUUUUUAUAGGAAUUUAAAACAAUAAAAAUAGAGCUAUGACAGAACUUUAUUAAUCCUGAAGUAAAUACUGAACAUAAAUGUUAAUCAAUGGAUAAUAAUAGUACUGUACAUAAUGCUACCCUAACAUUCAUGGACAUAAACUGUGAAUAAAUCCAUGUUAACUGGAGUGAUUAAACUAAUGAAAGCGUGUUUGCAGAAGGUCCGGUGUUUUUACGUCUCUGUCUCCAGCUGUCCUCCACAGCUCUCUCCGCCUCUCUGCUGUGAGGUCACUGCUGACAUCAUAACUGAGGUUGCUGGUGGCGGUGAUGACAUCACAGCUGUCACUGACCACUGACUUCGCCCUCUCCGUGUCCCACCCCCCACCGCCGUCGAUGAGCUGGACAGACACAAGACACACGUCAGCCAAUGGGAGCUGAGGAACACCAGUGCAUCACUACAGGUGUGCUGUGACGUCACCCUCACCUGGUUCCUCCACAGGCCGGCCACCGUGUGGUAGAGCAGCAGCAGCAUCAGAGGGCUGCUGAAGUGAAACCAGCUGAGCUCAGGGUUCACCUGCAGCCUCCAGGGGGCAGCGCAGUCCGCUGAGACCACCGACACCAGGCCCAGAACACUGGAACCAAUCAAUGAUCAAUAACCAGGAACCAAUCAAUGAUCAAUAACCAGGAACCAAUCAGUGAUCAACAACCAGGCCCAGAACACUGCACAGGACUCAGUUAGCCAGCAGGGGGCAGUACUGAUGAUAGAUGCGUUAUCUGGUGUUACCUGGCAGAGGUGUGGUUGGGAGGCCACGCCUCCUGCAGUGAAGGUAGCUGGUAGCAGUAGAAGAGAAGGAAGUGGGAAGAGGAGUACAGCAGUGACAUCACAGACAUACAUCUGAAGAGUAGGGGUGGGACCUGACCUGACCACGCCCACCAGGUACACAACGCCUGGAAACAGAGCAGAUAGAGAAGGGAGGAGAGAGAGGGGAACAUGAUACCUGCAAGGAAGGAAGAAGACAGACAGUACUGGUUAGUACUAGUACUAGUUAUCUGUGAUUCUACAACUGGUUACCCCUGAUUCUACUACUGGUUACCCCUGAUUCUAGUACUGGUUACCCCUGAUUCUAGUACUGGUUAUCUGUGAUUCUAGUACUAGUUAUCUAUGAUUCCAGUACUAGUUAUCUAUGAUUCCAGUACUAGUUAUCUAUGAUUCCAGUACUACCUGUGAGUCCCAGUAGAGCCGUCAGCAGAACCUUCCCUCCAGUUGUCAUCAUGUUUCCAACCAUCUGUCUGGUUUUACAAACCAGCAGCUCCAGUUCCACCAGAAUCCGGUUUCUACCAACUCCCUCCUCAUCCUCAAACAUCAAAUCCUGCUGCUGAUCCGGAUCCUGCUGCUGAUCCAAAUCCUGCUGCUGAUCCAGAUCCUGAUGCUGAUCCAGAUCCUGCUGCUGAUCCAGAUCCAGAUCCUGCAGUGUUGGAGUGAUGAAGAGGAUUCAGAGGAGGUCUGGUCUCUGGCCUCAUGUUCCCAGAUGGAUUGGGACCGGACCAAUAACGUAAACUGAACAUCUCUGAUCAAUAAUCAAUAAUCGCUGGUCCUACCUGCGGUCAGGCUGACGGGCAGCAGGACACGCAGCAGCAGCCCGGCGGCCAGCUCCGAGGACAUCCUGGACCAGCGGCGGGUCACAGCUCCGUCUGCCCGCCCGAGGAGCCGCAGGCCCGGCUGACGGCGGCGGCACGCCCCGGUGACAUCCUCCGGGGCUCAGAGAGGGGCAGACAGGCGGACAGACAGACAGAAAGUCUCCUUCUGCCCGCCGACCCGGGACCAGCCGGUUCCGACCAAUAGGAGGAGCCCAGCCAGCCCGCAGGUCCCGCCCAGAGGCUGACUGACAGCCGCCUGGGCCAAUCAGAGUGAAGGAAGAGGAGUCGCUGAGACCACACCCUGCCCGACAUAAAAUGAAAAAUUUAGGGAAAAAAAUGAUAAAAUAAAAAAAUAAAUUCACAUAAAAAGGUUUAAUAAUAUGAAUGAAUUAAUUAAAGAAUCUUUUACAUCAAAUGAAUAGAUUAAUUAUGAAACAUUAAACAAAGUGAAUAAUUGCAUCAGGAAAAACAACAGAUAAAACCAAAAAAUUAAUUUCAAAACGUGAAACAUUAUGGGAAGUCAAUCCGUGUAUGGUUCGCUCAUUCGUUUUUCCGUUUCAAAAUAAAAUCAGAAAAAAAACAAAUAAUCGCUUUUUUUUGGUUUUUUUUUUUGUUUAAAAAUUUAAUUCGAAAAACAAAAAGUAGAGGAAGAAAAAAAUGCUGCGUUUUUACAAAUUUUAAAGUUCAAACAAAAGAAAAAAAACCUAUUCCCAUUUGGAAGCUGCCGGCAGAACCGGAAAUCAAAGUCAGAACUCGUGGCGACUUGACUUCACUUCUCUGUCCCAAACUCAGCACCACGUACAGCAAAGACGUUUGUCUUAUUUAGAGGAAGCAGACGCAUCACACUGAGAGCUCAUGAUCUCAGUGUGAACAAAACUGCUUUAAUAUUCCAAGUAAGUAUUUUUAAGUAUUAAAAUGUGAAGAACUCUGGCGAUUCCGACCUGUUCCAGUUUAAUCAGGUUAAUUGUUGAUAGUUUCUGUCUCCAGAUGUUUCGUCCUCAGAUUCAUCCAGACCACACCUGUGUGUGAAAUAAAGAUACUAGAUAAAGAAAAUCUGCAGAAAAACGUCAGCAUCACUACUUAAUAAAGUCUAUGUCCAUGUAAAUAACAUCUGUAGACAGUAAAAAGAUGUGCUGGUCGCAAUAAAAAAAACCAAAAAACAUGUAUUUUUUUGAACGCUGAGAGGAAACGAUGGAAUCCAGAAAUAAAAUCAGAGACCACAGUCUGAAUCAUCAUGUCACCAAUCAGUCUGAUAAACAUCCCGCUUCAUCCACAUAGAUCUUUGUCAUCAGGUGUCAGAUCCAGAGCAGAACUUCAGGUUUAACUCGGGUUUGUUCUCAGAAACACUCAGAGCCUCAGCAGCCUCCCAUCAGAACAACACGCAGCAGAACAUCAGCUGGAUCUGAUAAAAUACAUCAGAACAACACGCAGCAGAACAUCAGCUGGAUCUGAUAAAAUACAUCAGAACAAACUGAGACCAUGUUGUUAAAACUAGUCACUCAGAAAACAAUAAAAACUCGUUCAGUCCUCCGUUCUAACCGUCAUUUCAGAGCACGUUAACCGCUGACAAUAUUAAAUAAAAAUGGAAGGGAUCCAAUCUGGGCAAAACAAACAUGUGUGAGUUGUGUCUUUCCAAAAGCUCUGGCUGGUUUACAAAUGGCAAAAAGAUAGUUUUAGGGACGUGGCAGAGGAAGACUAGAAUACUUCCAGUACUGCAGUCUGAGUGAUUAAACUAUGCAGGUAGUUUGUGUUAGAUUUUUGUAAUCCUUUUUACAUCCUUGUGAAGAUGUUUAUCAGACUGAUCGGUAACAUCUAUGGUUAACAGAACAAAUUCCAGCUCUCUCCAGAUCAGCAUCAGACACAUGAUUGAUCUCCUUAAACUGUUCUCCAGCAGAACCUCCUGACUCUCAUUAUAGAGCAACGUGGAGCUCCAUGAUUUCUGCGUGGGUUUUUCACUCUCAAAAACAGAAUAAAAUAGGAAAAGGGCUCGAGGACAGCCAUUCUAGAUGUGUUCACGGUCCAGACCAGCUCUAAACUGUUCUUCCUCGGUGACUUCCGGUGUUGCUACAAAAUAAAAUAACAGCCAUAUUUUGUAUUUCGGGUUUAAAAAACUAGAGCAAAAAACCAACGCUGUGAUUUUUUUAAAUAAGUUAAACAAUACAUUUCUACAUUUAGAUUUUAAAAACGCAAAAACAAAACAGCAUCAUGGUUUAUUGUUUUUUUUAAAUUUUAUUUUGAAAUGGAAAAACGAAUGAGCGAACCAUACAGAUUCUCAAUCCAUGUAUAUUUUGGCAAUUGGAUUUUCCGUUCUGAAAAGGGUAUUGACAAACAAAAAACGAGUGGUUAUUUGAUUUUCGUUUUAAAAUACAAAAAUUAAAUUGAAAUACAGGGCGCUUGUCCUUUUCAUGAUCAAAGAGGGCUUGACGAGAUUUUAAAAAUGCUUUGAUUUUCAUUUUAUAUUUAGAAUAACAAAAAAAUAAAUAAAAUCAGUAAGAGACAGAAAUGAAAAAAGGUCCGUUUUUUCCAUUUUCUGGGACCGGAAGUGGUCAUCAGCAAGUGUGGAGCCGAACGACAACAAGAUUCUCAGAGGGCGGAGCCAGAGGGCAGUGAUUGGUCAGACUGACUGAGAGCCAGAGAGCAGUGAUUGGUCAGACAGCGCUAGUGGAUCCAGUCUUCUAUCUAUAUCUACGGUCGGCACGUCUGGUAGCAUCUCUGGCUGCUGUUGACCUUGUUUUUGGAGUAAAACACGGUGGAAGCUGAAUUAGUGAGGAUGACUCCUGCUCCUGUCAUCUCUAAGCUCCUCCCACAUCUUUACCUGCACAUAAGGAAAAUCACUCCUGUAGAAUGCAGCUCAGGUCCUGGGCCGCUGCACUCCUCCUCUGUUGUUUUCUGGAUUGUACUCAGCUGCAUGCCUUCGUCCACCAGGCCUCCGUUGACUCGUCCCGCCUGCCGUCUCUGGAGCUGAAGCUGGAUUGGAACAGACCAAAGUACAGUCCAAUCACGAUGCCAGCUGCCUCUCAAAAGGCUCCUUCAUCUGGCAGGUGGCAGCACUUCUUCUGAGGGGAAGCUGAGCUGGUCCAGCAGAACUUUGGAGAUGUGUUCCAGUGGUUGGUGGAUGUGUGGGGAGAUAGAGAGGGACCUUUGAAUUGUUCACAAAGGAAAACAGGGAACCCAUUGGUAGUUUUAGUUUAGGGUGCUACUGCAGUGUGUUUUUGGGUUUUAAGAGGUGAACAGGAAGAGGUUUUUUUUCCUAUUGAUGAUCUUUUACUUUGUUCCUGGUUGGAAUGUCCAUCAAUGUCAACAUGAAGUUCACUUUUAGUUCUGUUGAUUUAUUUUUAUUUUACUAACACCCAUUUGCUUUUAACCCCCUCACAUGUUGUGUUGUUGUAAACUUCCUCUUUCAAAUAAAUAUCCUCCUAACUCCCUGGAAACCAGCAUUUGUCCUGUUUUUGUGUUGCUCCUCUGCGACCCUAGACAGCCGGGUCCUAAUGUUUUUUGAGCAACACACCAUACUAUGAUGUUUUUACAAUGAUGGUUCUACUAUGGAACCAGUUUGACAUGUUCAGGUGUUCUUUGUGUGAAAACUCAGAGAUUUCAGGGAUCAGAAGGUGGUUUUCAACUUUCUUUGUUAACUUUCUGCUUCAACUUUAAAUUAAAUUUCCUUCACUAACCCCGCCCUCUGGACUUCCAGGAAGCUGUGUUCCUAUUGGCUGUCCAGGUGGCUGCUUGGUGUUAUCAGGAACACCUGAGCAGCUUGGUGUUAUCAGGAACACCUGAGCAGCUCAGUGUCUUCCUGCUUCAUGUGGCUGCAGACAAACAUUUCCUCUGUUUCUCUUCACCAGUGAACCGGGUUUGGUUCUGUUGCUGUAGUUUGUUCUUUAGGCGUUGGCUUGCAGCUUCCAGCAGUAAAAUCAUCUUUAAUGUGUUUCUUGGUGUGUUUUUGGGCUUUGUACUGGAUAGUUGUCUUGGUAAAUGUGGUUCUUUAGCCACAGUUAGCACAUGGUGCUAAUGUGUGCAGUGAUUAGUGGAUUUGGUGCAGCUGAGUUGUGUCUUUAUCUUGGCUGUAGUGAGUCUUCAGAGGUUUUUGCUCAGACACAUUCUGUAUUCUUGUUUGAGAACCAGCGUUGGUUGUCCAGAAGGUAAGAGUUCCUGUCCUGAUUCUCUGUUCUCAGAGGUUCUCUGGUAGGCUGCAGGAGACUUUAGCGUUUGGGUUGUGCUAGUUUGGUUUUUGUACGGUUUCAUUUGGACGACUAUCUUGAGGCCCCUCCAUGUGGUUUAGUGAGGUUUUCUGGAACAGUUCUACAAAGCAACCUGCAGCAGAAGAGACUUUGAGAGUUUUUAGGAAGUUCUGGAGACCAGACUUUAGAGCAGCAGAAACAUUUGUCAGCAGUUUGAGCAGGAGAAGGUGAGCUUCAGAGUAGAAAUGAGACAGAAACCUUCUUGACCCAUGUGGUGAGGUCCUGUACCAAGAGUUUGAGCAGGUUGUGAAGAGUCUGUAGUUCUUUGGUCUGAAAGCACAAGAAGAGUCGACUCAUUAAAGGAGAAAACAGGAGAUAUUGUUGGUUCUUUUCUCGCUCUGCAGUUUCCUUAGACUGAAUAUCAAGUUUAUAUGUUAAAUGAUUUCCCAUGUGAGCCCAAGAAGACUUCAAUAAACUCCCUCCAUCCCCUGAACACAACAUAUUUUAUUACCAUGUUAAAUCUUUCUUUUAAAUAUGAUUUGAGUUUUAAUCAUAGUUUUUUCUCUUUGCUUGUUUAGUUUUGUCAUCUGUGUGAAAGGUGCUAAACAAAUAAAGUUGAAUUG